GCCUCUGGCCCGUCAGCAUCUCUUGAAUACUACAAAGGAUAACAAACGAAGCUCUGUUUAUUCCUUCCACCAGCUCUGCUUCCCAGGAGCUCUCGCACCCUCUCGCUGUGGGGAGGCCCCUUGAAUUCUGCUACACUACAAAAUACUGCUUUCCUGUGAAAACAGACAGGACCUGGCUGCAUCGCAAAAGGCUGAGGAAAUACACUGUGUUUCUGCAUGACUACGGCCAUGGUAACAGCGUAUUACAGCAAAGCAGACUGGAGCGCAUCAGCACACACCCACGCCACAAGAAAUUCCCAUGAUUCUUAGGAAUUACCUGGUGCUGUGCUGACUUUUGUUUUUGUUGUUGUUGUUGCUGCUGCUGCUAUUGUUUUGAGAUAUGGCAUUAUCAAUGCUAUACAAGAAAGUAAAGUUUUGCUCUGACAUUGGCCCACUGGGCAAAAACUAUGUCCAUAAACAUUUAUCCUCUCCACAAGUGUUGUUGUUUUUCCAGUCUGGGCCAGAAACUUUGCAGACAUGUCACAACCCUGCAGAACUUGACAGGAUUCCUGCCAAAACCUUAUGUUCAGUGGCUUUCCAUAUCUUUGGAGUUGUAAAUUUUAUAGCAUUAUGGCAAUCAGCAAGGUAUCAUAGGUAAUUUAGCUUUGCAUGCUCCACAGCGAGUAUGAAGGGCUAACAAAGCCAGGCACUGGGAUGAAGAAGCAAAAUUUUAAUAAAUAAAUGAAUAAAAAACAAACAAAUAAAAACAAAAGUAAAGUCACAGAAGCAACACCAAAUCUCCAAAGGAACGGUUUCCCAAGUUAAUAAAAAUAUGUAAAGUAGCUUAUGAUGAGAAACUUAACGACAGUUUAGUGUGGAGAUGUGGAAACUAUUCAUCAGAGGGCAAGCGUCACACCCUUUAACCAUCUAUAGUGGACAGAGGUGUCACAUUACAGCUAUACCGUAGAAUUUAGGAAAUGGGACAAUCCUUCUUCCAACGAAGAAAAGUCCUCUUCGGGCAUUAAAAGAUUGCCUUUCUGGUAUAGUUGAUUUCUCUGAUAAAGACUAGGUCCAAAGACUAUGCUAAAGAAGACAGCAUUGUAGCAUCAUCUGUGCAUAAAGCACACUGUGGAUCCUGUCACUCAGAACUGAAAGGCACUAGAAAAAUCAAGGGCAAAUCUUAUCUUCUAAUAUAAUCUUUAAAACUGUUAUAUGUUAUAAUAUAAUCAUAUAACUUUGGCAGAUCAUUUAGCCUUUAUGAGCCAACAUUCCUUUCUCCUUGAGAGUAAAACAGCAUUUCCCAAAUACUUCUAUUGAAACUAAGGGAAGCAGUAGGUUUGCAGGCACAUUCUCAAGCAUAAGGUACAGUGUGAGCACAGAGCACAGUCAACCAUUUUAGUGCUGUGCUAAAGAGAGGGGGCACUUCAGAGUACCAUCACUCAGAUCUUUUCAUGACCCAAGAACUCUAAAAGAAUUAACU